rnacentral:rRNA from 1 species
CCUACGGGUGGCAGCAGUGAGGAAUAUUGGUCAAUGGGCGCGAGCCUGAACCAGCCAAGUCGCGUGCGGGAGGACGGCCCUACGGGUUGUAAACCUCUUUUGCCGGGGAGCAACGGGCGUCACGUGUGGCGCCACUGAGAGUACCCGGAGAAAAAGCAUCGGCUAACUCCGUGCCAGCAGCCGCGGUAAUACGGAGGAUGCGAGCGUUAUCCGGAUUUAUUGGGUUUAAAGGGAUCGUAGACGGCAAGGCAAGCCAGAAGUGAAAGGGCAGGGCUCAACCCUGUAAAUGCUUUUGGAACUGUGGUGCUAGAGUGCAGGAGAGGUAAGUGGAAUUCCUAGUGUAGCGGUGAAAUGCGUAGAUAUUAGGAGGAACACCAGUGGCGAAGGCGGCUUACUGGACUGUAACUGACGUUGAGGCUCGAAAGCGUGGGGAGCAAACAGGAUUAGAUACCCCUGUAGUC